UAAUACAUGCAAGUCGAGCGAAUGGAUUGAGAGCUUGCUCUCAAGAAGUUAGCGGCGGACGGGUGAGUAACACGUGGGUAACCUGCCCAUAAGACUGGGAUAACUCCGGGAAACCGGGGCUAAUACCGGAUAACAUUUUGAACUGCAUGGUUCGAAAUUGAAAGGCGGCUUCGGCUGUCACUUAUGGAUGGACCCGCGUCGCAUUAGCUAGUUGGUGAGGUAACGGCUCACCAAGGCAACGAUGCGUAGCCGACCUGAGAGGGUGAUCGGCCACACUGGGACUGAGACACGGCCCAGACUCCUACGGGAGGCAGCAGUAGGGAAUCUUCCGCAAUGGACGAAAGUCUGACGGAGCAACGCCGCGUGAGUGAUGAAGGCUUUCGGGUCGUAAAACUCUGUUGUUAGGGAAGAACAAGUGCUAGUUGAAUAAGCUGGCACCUUGACGGUACCUAACCAGAAAGCCACGGCUAACUACGUGCCAGCAGCCGC
rnacentral:rRNA from 1 species